rnacentral:rRNA from 1 species
GAUGAACGCUAGCGGCAGGCUUAACACAUGCAAGUCGAGGGGUAUAUGCUUUCGGGCAUAGAGACCGGCGCACGGGUGCGUAACGCGUAUGCAAUCUGCCUUUCACAGAGGGAUAGCCCAGAGAAAUUUGGAUUAAUACCUCAUAGCAUAGCACAAUCGCAUGAUUGAGCUAUUAAAGUCACAACGGUGAAAGAUGAGCAUGCGUCCCAUUAGCUAGUUGGUAAGGUAACGGCUUACCAAGGCUACGAUGGGUAGGGGUCCUGAGAGGGAGAUCCCCCAAACUGGUACUGAGACACGGACCAGAAUCCUACGGGAGGCAGCAGUGAGGAAUAUUGGUCAAUGGGCGCAAGCCUGAACCAGCCAUGCCGCGUGCAGGAUGACGGUCCUAUGGAUUGUAAACUGCUUUUGUACGGGAAGAAACACUCCUACGUGUAGGAGCUUGACGGUACCGUAAGAAUAAGGAUCGGCUAACUCCGUGCCAGCAGCCGCCGUAAUAC